rnacentral:rRNA from 1 species
UGGAGAGUUUGAUCCUGGCUCAGAUUGAACGCUGGCGGCAGGCUUAACACAUGCAAGUCGAGCGGAUGAAGGGAGCUUGCUCCUGGAUUCAGCGGCGGACGGGUGAGUAAUGCUUAGGAAUCUGCCUAUUAGUAGGGGGACAACAGUUGGAAACGACUGCUAAUACCGCAUACGCCCUACGGGGGAAAGGAGGGGAUCUUCGGACCUUUCGCUAAUAGAUGAGCCUAAGUCAGAUUAGCUAGUUGGUGGGGUAAAGGCCUACCAAGGCGACGAUCUGUAGCGGGUCUGAGAGGAUGAUCCGCCACACUGGGACUGAGACACGGCCCAGACUCCUACGGGAGGCAGCAGUGGGGAAUAUUGGACAAUGGGGGCAACCCUGAUCCAGCCUAUGCCGCGUGUGUGAAGAAGGCCUUUUGGUUGUAAAGCACUUUAAGCGAGGAGGAGGAGCUCUAGAUUAAUACUCUAGAUGCUUGGACGUUACUCGCAGAAUAAGCACCGGCUAACUCUGUGCCAGCAGCCGCGGUA